rnacentral:tRNA from 1 species
CGGGGCGUAGCGCAGCCUGGCUGGCGCGCGUGGUGCGGGACCACAAGGUCGUGGGUUCAAGUCCCGCCGCCCCGACCA